CCUUGGAGUUCGGGAUAACAGUUGGAAACGACUGCUAAUACCGAAUAUUCCCCUCAGGGGGGGAAAGAUUUAUCGCUCCAAGAUCGGUCCGCGUAAGAUUAGGUAGUUGGUGGGGUAAUGGCCUACCAAGCCUACGAUCUUUAGCUGGUCUGAGAGGACGACCAGCCACACUGGAACUGAGACACGGUCCAGACUCCUACGGGAGGCAGCAGUGGGGAAUAUUGGACAAUGGGCGAAAGCCUGAUCCAGCCAUGCCGCGUGAAUGAUGAAGGCCUUAGGGUUGUAAAAUUCUUUUGCAGGGGAAGAUAAUGACGGUACCCUGCGAAUAAGCUCCGGCUAACUUCGUG
rnacentral:rRNA from 1 species